UGACGGGCACUCGUGCAGAACCCCCCGCGCCCUGCGCCCCCUCCACUCUCUCCUCUCAGCUCCCUCAUCUCCAACCCCAAACCUUUCCCCACCCCUGUAGCCGCCUCCCCGAGCUUCUCGCCCCCUCCACUCCCUCCACGCCGCCUCCUCCCAUCUCCUGACGAGGCAGCUCCCAAGCGAGGAUCCGGCACCUACCUACACUGCCGCUGUCCAUCCCUCCUCAUCCUGGAUCCUGCGGGCUGAGGCGUGAGGCUGCGGAGGCAAGCUUCUCCGGCAGCGGGGGCAACCUACAGGCAAAGGGUGACCGGCGGCGCUUGACUCGAUCUGCGGGAGAUAAUAUGAGAGGGAGGGAGAGAAGGAAGGAGAGGAGGGAGAAAGAGAGAGGAAAGAGGAGAGGGAGGUGCAGGGGCGGACGGGAGAGGGUCACCGGAAGGAGCGCCCCGGCUCGUCGUUCACACCGCCCAGGAGGAAGAGGAGAGGGAGGUGCGGCAGUGGAUGGGAGAGGGCCACUGGAAGGAGCGUGGCCGGCGUCGUUCGCACCACGCUGGAGCAGAGAUGCCUAGCCCUCAUGCCCGCAGCACUUUACACAAGUCAACCAACCAAUUCAAUCUCUGUUAGCACUAGGAGAAGAGCAUUUGCAAAAAGAGAAGAGCCCCUAUAAUCUACAUUAGUCGAUUUGAGGGUAUGUUGAAUGUGAUAUUUAAUAAAGAUGGUAAUUCUUGCUAUUCAAAGUACACAAGUGGUUGCCCCUGAGGUCUCCUCCUUGUCCGGCUUGUUCAUUAAGGUCGGCAGGGGGAAGGUCCAGGGUGAGACCUUCAAGAUGGAUUUGAUGUUGCUAUUAUUUCAGUUUGUGGACAGAGGAUGUGAUUCCAGCAAGACAGAGACGACGGCAAUGACAAGUGAGAUUUCUGUUAAGGAGUAUUAGUAGAUGUUCACAUGAUCGCUAGAAGCAUAUGAAGGUAUCCACAAUGAUGGUUGCUUUCUUAUCGACACAUGAUUUAUUUAUAAUUAUUGAUAAUGUACCUUUGUGAUCGUAGCCACAAUCCAUCUCAAUGUGUAGUUUCUGAACGUCCAUGUCCAUCGCCAGCUUAACAGCCUGUCAGAGCAACUCAGCCACUUCAGGGCUACAAACCUGAUCAAACACAUGAGACGCAUCUCCUCUGAAAGCUCCAUCUUGGUCUCUAAACACUACACCACCACCAGCUAUACUUCCCGACUUUGAUCUCGCACCACCACUCCACCAGCAGUGAAAUGAACCUUGAUUUGAACCAUUCCAGUUUGUCUCUGGUUGUACUCUAUUUGGAUCCAAAUAGAGUAAGAAGAAAAAGGAAAUGUAUUGCGAGCCAGCAGGGCAAGAUUUUGUUCGGCAAGGGCAUUAACUGUAGGUAAGCAGAUGCAGUGAGCCAGUGACCAGAGAGUCUCGUGAUCAGACUGUGGGUGGUUAUUGUUGCACUAUUCAUAUCUCCCCUGUUUUGGGUAUAGUCCAGUAGCUGAAAGUUUAUGUAUAGUCAAAUGUAAUUGACUAACUAGAGAGUUCAUGUAUCUACAUGAAAAUAAGCUAAUACAAAUGAAAAAUUGUUGAAUGCAUUUAUCUUCAUUCAGUGUGUGCCCCAUAGUUAAUGCAAGUUCUUACAUUAGAAAGAAAAUGGAUAACCAUUCUCAAAUGCUGACACUUCUUAGAACUUCUCUUUUCAUAACAUGUGCAACUUCUUACUUCAUGAGCAUGUAGUACAGUGCCAAAGAUUUGGGAUGUCACAUAUAAAUAGAUUAUAUUGCAUGGCUUUUUGAGAAUAAAUGUCACAAUGUUUCUUUGUUCCCUAAUUUCCCUCCUACUUUUUCUUCAGUUUCCUCAAUACACUUUCAACUACUAAUUAUUUCAGUUUACUCUGGACAUGCCAUUUGAUGCAACAUAGUUCUCAUGAUACCAGUAAUCUUCAAUAGACAAAGGAAUUUGUGCAGAAUGCAGAAAAUAAAUAAGCCAAUCUUUUACCCCUAUACAUAGACAGUAUUUAAUGAUGUGGUUAGUAAGGCCUUCCUUUGGUGGCUAAUUUCUUUAUUGUGAUGCUUGAAACAAUUUUUUAAACCGAUAAUGAUUCUAGAAUAAAAUAGACCAAUGAUAUUCUGACCUACGAUGAGGCUGGGGCACGUCUUCUAACCUGCAGCAGACUGUACACGUAGCGGGGGCGCCUGUCCCGCUAUCGGUCCAGACCAUGGGCGCAGCUUGGUCGAGCUACAGCGAGUGCAUCUGAUUCCAACACAUCAAGAUGAGCUCCCUCUUUUAUUAUUCUUAGGCAAUGAGGUGUUAGGCCCGAUCUUUUUAUUUGUUGCUUUGAUGAGUGUUGUCAUGUUGUGGAAAGGCAACAUGUGCUUGAUAUGUGGAGUUGGUGUUGAGCCUGGCGGUAGUAGACAGUCGCUUGAUCUGAGAGUUGAUUCAUAUCUUUUUUUUCUUGAAAGUGUGAAGACAUUUCUUAGAUUGCUUCUUGUUUUUUUGAUGUAUUUUGUUCUGCUGAUAAGUGGCAGGAAAGAAAAGACCUGCUUGAAUUAUAGAAAGUGUUCUAAGAAAAUUAUGUGAAUGGAAUAUGGACUGCAUAUACAUAUGAUGCAACUCUUUUGCAUCCGGAGAUUGGAUUACAGAUUCCUCAUGUUUGUGUACACAGAUUUCCCAAAAGUAUUACGUGCUGCACAUAUUCUUAUUUCUUUUGAUUAAUUUAGAGCAAUGUAGGUGUGAAGGCUGCCGAUUCAAGUCUCAACUCAAGCAAAAUUUGAUUUUUUUUAUUGUUCUGUCGAUGUAGCAUCUGAGACUGACUUACUUAGAGACCCAGUUCUGCUCUGUAAUUUCAGAAUAUAUGUUGUCAUGUGCUUGUUUCUGCUUUUGGUGUGUGCUUUCCUAUCUAAUGUUUUCUUCUUGCUUUUGGAAUAGCUGCAUAUGUUUCCAAAUACCAAAUGUUUUCUUCUUGGUUUUCAAAGAAACCUUUUGACCUUCUUAUUAUACAUGCAGGUUCAUGAUACUGAGGUUAUCGGCGUUCUCCUGCAAACUGAAUUAAUUCCUCUGUGCUUGCGUACCAUGGAGAUGGGCAGUGAGCUAUCAGAAAACCCUACUCUGCCACGCAGUGAUCCGGCCAAUUUUUUCCUCAGGUUGUCGUUUGCUCAUUGUUGUCCUAGCUGUGCUACUUCCUUCUGGUUAGACGAACUGCUGUGUUCCUAGACCUGCAGCUCAUUUCUGCUCCUCAAGAGAUGGUGUCCACGCCUUCAUCAUAGCUGGUGUCCACAUGUUCUUCAGAGCUCGUGUCCACGGCUUCAGCAGAGCUACUGUCCACACUUUCGUCAGAGCUAAAACAACAUAGACUAAUCAAGUCACAUUACUGUGACGACGUGUAAAUCAGCCCGAGGUUUUGAAUGGGACUUUACACCACCAAAUUAGAAUGUGUGUAUAUAUAUCUCAUUGUACACAGCUAAACACCAUUUUUUUGACUAAAGGAGAUUAUGUUUACUAUCAUAUGUACUUGCCCACAAGAGGUCUUUUAUCGUCGGGGCUUGUUACAGGCAUGAUCAGUUCAUGAUUUUAAAAUAUUUUUAUACAUGUAUCUAUAAAAAAUUGUAAAAGGAAUUGUUGAAUAUAUUUAAUUCUUGUAAUCAUGUAGGUCA